AUUUUCUAACAGAAAUUAUGUUGAUACUGAUAAUCCAUUAAAAACAAGAAAAUACUUCGAGUUCAUUCUUGUUGAUACUUGUCCAAUUGAAGUUGAACACAAACUUAAUGAAAACUUUGAUGUGACCAAGAGGGUCAUCCCAAGAUGGUUUUACGAAUGGUGGAACUGUUUUGGCAGUAAUAAACAAGUUCUGCCAAAAAACAUUGCUGAGAAAUUAAAUUAGUUUCACAUAGAUCAAGACAUAUCUUCUCUCCUAGAGAAUAUAAAAUUAUGUAAAUAUUUUAUUCCAAAAAGUAUUUUUUAUAUUAAUAGUUGGACUUUCUGUAUUGCAGAAUUGUACAGGAUAAAGUAUUUGUCAAGAGAAGUCCUGAUUAAAGGAUGGUCUCCAGCUCCAAAAGAAGCUGCAAAUCAUCAACCAAUCGAUCUCUAGAAGAUCUCCCCAGAAGACUUUAUCUGAGAAAGAACUGAAGAUAAGAUAACAAAGGCCUUGUCAGACUUAGACUCUGAAGAUAAUGAACAGUCUAUAAUGAAGCUCCUUGAAGAAGCUUCAUCCUCUCAUAGUGACAAUAAUGGAGAAAAACCUAAAGUUUUGGCACAGUCUUAUUUCGAUCCAUUUUAUGAUUAAUCACUAGUUGAGGGUAUUAAAAUCUGAAAUAACUAGUGUUUCAGAUAGAGACCCAGAAUAACUAGUGUUUCAGAUAGAGGCCAAUAGAGCUAGAAUUAUCUAGAAAGAAAAGGAAGAGUCCCAAAGAGAUGGAAUUUCCUUUUGAUAAAAUUAUUAAGUAGAAUUUUUCAGGACCCACAAAGCAUGAUCAACAAAGCAUUAUCAACAAUUAUGGCCGACAAAAGUGGCUGACGUAACCUUAUCAAAAGAUAAAGGUGAACAUACUUUUCAAAAGAAAAUGAAAUACUUUUUUUAUCAAAAGCAACGGACGGAAAUCAACAACCAAUCAGAAGAAGAGCUUUUAGAUUUCCCUUAUCCUUUCAAGAUUAUUUAAGACUUCAUCCUUAAAGAAGAAAUCGAAGACCGAAAAACCAACAAGGCACUUUGUAAUUUUUCAUCAAUGUUUUUACUUCUCUCUAUAUGUAAAUUCUGAAGCUUCCACAAUAUAUAUAGAAAAGAAAUCUGUCCAAAGUUGAAUGCGGAGAUUUUGAGCGAAGAAAUGCAGAAGAAACCACCUACGGAGCUGAUGACGGUCCGUCGUGCUUGCGACUGUCCGUAGGUUGCAGUGUAGAGAAGCUGCUGAAGGAAGAUGGGGAAGUCUGACCAAGUGUGGGGUUACGUAUCUUGUGACGGUCCGUCGUGGCUAUGACGGUCCGUCCUGCAGGUUCGUCAUGAAGUUCAGAGAAGUGAUCCCAGUACCCAGAAUCCAAGAGUUAAAGUGUUUUGAAAA